rnacentral:tRNA from 1 species
GGUAAUGUGGCUGAGAAGUAAGCGGCGAGUUGUAGCCUCGUUUACCGGGAGAAGGCCCGCAAUACCAAGCC